CCGGCUGCUUUGUUUACCCAAGCAAGCCUGGGCAAUGGCGGGCGCCCCUCCCCCAGCCUUGCUGCGGCCUUGCAGUUUGAUCUCAGACUGCUGUGCUAGCAAUCAGCGAGACUCCGUGGGCGUAGGACCCUCCUAGCCAGGUGCAAGAUAUAAUCUCGCGGUGCGCCGUUUUUUAAGCCGGUCCGAAAGCGCAAUAUUCGGGUGGGAGAGACCCGAUUUUCCAGUGAGAUGAACCCAGUACCUCAGAUGGAAAUGCAGAAAUCACCCGUCUUCUGCGUCGCUCACGCUGGGAGCUGUAGACCGGAGCUGUUGCUAUUCGGCCAUCUUGGCUCCUCUCCUGCACUGCAAGAAUGGACUAAUACGCUAUGUGAAGACAAAGGGGAUGUCUGCAAGCCAGGACGAGUGCGUCUACCAGAAACUGAGUUCUGCUGGACUUUGAUCUAGGACAUCCAGCCUCCAGAAUGGAAUGUGCCAUAUGUGGAGACCUGCAUGGAAAGGAACUGAGGAUGCUCUCUCACUAAAAGCUAGAAGGAACUGAGGCCCUCAGUCAACAGUCUACAAGACACUGAAUCUUGCCAGCAGCCAAGCAGUGAGCUUGAAAGCAGAUCUAUCAUCAGCUGAACCUUCAGAUGAGACCGCAGCCUAAGCAGAUACCUUGGUUGCAGCCAUGUGAGACAACCUGAAACAGAGGGCACAGCUAAGCCUCAGCCAGGUUCAUGACCCUCUGAGGAAACUGUGAGAAAGCAAAUGUCAUUUUAAGCUAUUUAAUUUUGGAGGUAGUUUAUUACACAACAAUAAAUAACUAUUAUAAUUAUCUUGAGGAUUUAUUUCCUGGGGAGAAUACAUGGAAUUGCAUAUAUAGGUCCUCAUAUGCAGAAUACUGGUACCCUAGAGAUGUUCACCCCAGAGAUGUUUUAGGAACCUGUGAAUAUGUUACAUUAAAUGGCAAAGUUUUCCUGGAUGGUUUAAGUUUAAGAUGGAAAAGUUUUACUGGAUUAUCCAGUGGGUCCAAUCUAGUAACAUGAGUCCUUAAAAAUGGAGAAUAUUUUUUGGCCAUGAUCAGAGAGACAUGUGAUGAUGGAAAAAGUGUCAGAGAUGCAAUGUGAGGGGACUAAAACUGCUGUUGCUGACUUUAAAGAUGGAGAGAGGGGAACCCGAGUCAAGGAAUGCAAAUGGCCUCUGGAAGCUGGAAAAAGCAAGAAAUGGAUUCUCCUUUAGAGCCUGUGGAAUAAAAUGCAGUCAUGCUGACACCUUGAUUUUACCUCAGUGAGACCAAUACUGGAGUAUGACCUUCGGAGCUGAAUAAAAUUAUACGUACACAUCUUAAUUUCUUGGGAUUUGAUUACUUCUUCUGCUUUGAAAUUAGACCAAGUUUAGCCUGCCUUUGCUAUUUUGGCGUAUCUCCAAUUCUUCAUGAUUUUCUCAUUCGGAGGUAAAGUUCUCAGAUGGAAUGGGGCUUGGUAUGCUGCAUGAGUCACUUCCUCAAUGAGGCAAUUGUCAGAAAAAUAGGAGACGUAGCUCUAAGGUAAAUAUUGUUGGGUCAUUUGAAAUGUAUGCAGAUUUGACAUUUCCCUUCUGAUUAGCAUGUCUACACAUUAAAGUUUUGUGUAUGUCACAUUGGAUAGUUCAGAUGCCAGGGUAAUGUCAGUGAGCACUUGAUAGAAACUUAAUUUUGCUCCUGAUGAAGAAAAUGGAAGGAUGAAGAGGAAAACCUAAGGUGAGAACCUUAUUUAGAGUGUACAGGGGGUAUUCAGAAUAAAAAAAAAAAAUGCUGGGAAGGAAAGUGUCAUUAUCUACUAUGUGCCAGUUACUUUAUUACCUAAUUUAGUCCUUUUAGGGAUAUUGACCCCGUUUGAAUAAUUAAAAUAGGUGAAUCAACAGGCUUAAUGCCAACAGAUAGUAGAAUAGUAGAGCUGAAAGUUCAAGCUCAUGUGUGUUUGAUGCUGAAGUCCAUGCUUCUUCCUGCAG
rnacentral:lncRNA from 10 species